rnacentral:tRNA from 1 species
GGCGCUAUCGUCUAGGGGUCUAGGACAGGUGGUUCUCAGCCAUCAGACCGGGGUUCGAAUCCCCGUAGCGCUACCA